UACGUAGGGGGCAAGCGUUGUCCGGAAUUAUUGGGCGUAAAGAGCGUGUAGGCGGUCCGGUAAGUCAGCUGUGAAAGUCAAGGGCUCAACCCUUGAAAGCCGGUUGAUACUGUCGGGCUAGAGUCCGGAAGAGGCGAGUGGAAUUCCCGGUGUAGCGGUGAAAUGCGCAGAUAUCAGGAAGAACACCCGUGGCGAAGGCGGUUCUCUGGAACGCAACUGACGCUGAGACGCGAAAGCGUGGGGAGCAAACAGG
rnacentral:rRNA from 1 species